GCAGGAACAUUUCUGUACCGGUUUUAGAGCUAGAAAUAGCAAGUUAAAAUAAGGCUAGUCCGUUAUCAACUUGAAAAAGUGGCACCGAGUCGGUGCUUUUUUU
rnacentral:guide_RNA from 1 species